CUAUAGCCCCGAUAGUAGCGGCAUCCUUUUUUGUUUUGUUGAAAUCUGGAUUUGAUGACAAAACUUGAUAAAACAAAAAAGAUAUAGCGGAUAGCGGGAUUAAGC
rnacentral:sRNA from 1 species